rnacentral:rRNA from 1 species
UACGGAGGAUGCGAGCGUUAUCCGGAUUCAUUGGGUUUAAAGGGUGCGUAGGCGGAUUGAUAAGUCAGUGGUGAAAUUCUGCAGCUUAACUGUAGACGUGCCAUAGAUACUGUCAGUCUUGAGUAUGGUCAAGGUAGGCGGAAUGUGUAAUGUAGCGGUGAAAUGCUUAGAUAUUACACAGAACACCGAUUGCGAAGGCAGCUUGCUGGGCCAUUACUGACGCUGAUGCACGAAAGCUAGGGUAGCAAACAGG